UACAGAGGGGGCAAGCGUUGUUCGGAAUUACUGGGCGUAAAGGGCGCGUAGGCGGCCUGUUAAGUCGAACGUGAAAUCCCCGGGCUCAACCCGGGAACUGCGUCCGAUACUGGCAGGCUUGAAUCCGGGAGAGGGAUGCGGAGUUCCAGGUGUAGCGGUGAAAUGCGUAGAUAUCUGGAGGAACACCGGUGGCGAAGGCGGCAUCCUGGACCGGCAUUGACGCUGAGGCGCGAAAGCCAGGGGAGCAAACGGG
rnacentral:rRNA from 1 species